UACGUAGGGUGCGAGCGUUGUCCGGAAUUACUGGGCGUAAAGAGCUCGUAGGUGGUUUGUCGCGUUGUUCGUGAAAACCGGGGGCUUAACCCUCGGCGUGCGGGCGAUACGGGCAGACUUGAGUACUGCAGGGGAGACUGGAAUUCCUGGUGUAGCGGUGGAAUGCGUAGAGAUCAGCAGGAACACCCGUGGCGAAGGCGGCCCCCUGGGCCGAACCUGACGCUGAGGCGCGAAGGCUAGGGGAGCGAACGGG
rnacentral:rRNA from 1 species